UGGCAGAGUGGGGAAAGAGAGUAGCAACAGCCAUGGGUACAGAGGCAGUGGCGCUGGAGAAUGAUCAAGCAACAACGGACAAAACACGUCAUGAUCCGGGUUUUACGUUUUGCGAUCUCAGCGUGAUUUGCAGACAUUAAGCCAGCUAGACAAGCGUUUAAAGACCUCACCUACGCUGGAUAAUGAGUCUCAGCAGAGGAGCAUUGAUAAAAUGGACGCCGUAUUGCAGCACCACGUGAGUGCAAUCGUUGCUGUGCGUCUGAAGAUGUUACAGCGUGGCACCCCUAACAGGUUCGCCACGAUCUGCCUUCCUUCCCCGGACGACCUUGAACGACUGCUCAAGGACAAACAGUACGGCGGCCCGCUGGAACAGCGACACAAGGAUGUGUCAACGCCGAAGCUCAAAGCUCUUCUCGCCGAGCAUAAGAAGAUCGCGCGGAAGAAGGCCAAGAUGGCGGCGGCGUCCACCGGCGAGGCAGCGAAGCGAUGUGGCG